UCAUUCUUCCUCGAUAUUGCGUUAUGCUUCAUCAAAUCUCAUGAACAGAAAACUAAUAAACUACUACAGUGUAUCAAGCCGGGAUCCAUGGAUUCCAUGUGUAGUUGUUAAAAGUAAUGUGCAACUUAUUUAAUAGUAAAUUUUAGUAGUGAAAUAUAAAGAAAAAGAAAGGAAAAAGAUGGAGAUGGUGCCUUGGGCCAUACUUAAAAAAGGAACAUAUAAAACACGUUGAUGUGGCUGCCUUCAGUCUCCAUUAUCCAAGGUAGAGAGCACUGUGGUUGGUUGGUGUCUUAAUUUGGGCCAUGACUCCAUAUGCUAUUAAUUGGUACAUACAACGUCUAUAUAUAAAGAUAGUGUAAUUAAUAUUUCAUAUUUGCAAGAGGCCAAGAGCCUCAGACACUGUAAAAGAAAUGGGGUGGCUCAAUUCCUUCUUCUCUCCCUUGAAGAAACUAUGGUUGCGCGUCAAUUCUGCUCAAAAGAAGAGAAGAGGAAUAUACAUAUUAUACGAGGACGUGAAGUUAUGCCCAUACGAAGAUGUGCAUGUUUUGUGGUCUAUACUCGUCGAGUCUCAACGACACACUUUGCAACCCAAACAAUAAAAACUCUAUUUCAUUAUUGAUGUUUAGCUCUCUUUUAGUUAAGUGGUUCAUAUAUAUAUCGACUGUUCAUGCCCAAGGACGAGACAAAGGGAGAUACUUAUAAGCGACAUGAUUCAUUCAUACGUUUUCUCUCACUUGUACAUAAUCAUAAUAUCAAUACACAGAGAUUCUCUUUCCCAUAA